UACGUAGGGGGCAAGCGUUGUCCGGAUUUAUUGGGCGUAAAGAGCUCGUAGGUGGUUCGGUAAGUCGGAUGUGAAAUCUCCAGGCUCAACCUGGAGGGGUCAUUCGAUACUGCCGUGACUAGAGGUCGGUAGGGGAGUGUGGAAUUCCUGGUGGAGCGGUGAAAUGCGCAGAUAUCAGGAGGAACACCAGUGGCGAAGGCGACUACCUGGCCUGUUCUUGACGCUGAGGCGCGAAAGCUGGGGGAGCAAACGGG
rnacentral:rRNA from 1 species